rnacentral:rRNA from 1 species
UACAGAGGGUGCGAGCGUUAUUCGGAAUUACUGGGCGUAAAGCGUGCGUAGACGGUUUUUUAAGUCGGAUGUGAAAGCCCCGGGCUCAACCUGGGAAUUGCAUUCGAGACUGGAUAGCUAGGGUACGGUAGAGGGAAGUGGAAUUUCCGGUGUAGCGGUGAAAUGCGUAGAUAUCGGAAGGAACAUCAGUGGCGAAGGCGACUUCCUGGACCAGUACCGACGUUCAGGCACGAAAGCGUGGGGAGCAAGCAGG